CAUGAAUGUAACUGCAGCCAAGAGUAACUCCCUGAGCAGAGGAAUUGAGGGUUAAGUAGUCUUAGUGUGCUAAUAAGACUUUGCCUUAGGAGGUGGAUAAGCUUGUGCCUGUUUUCUGUUUUGCCUUAUAGUGUAACUGGAGAGGGACCAAAAUGUGAGGAAUAUGCAGGGUUAUCCUUUAUAGCACCCUCAUGGGGCUGGGACACAUUACCAUUACUGCUGAAAAAGGGAGCAGGAGUCAGUCUGAAAAGACUACAGGUGUCACUGUAUUAGAAUUACCAAGUGAACCAGUGCAUUCCUUCUUGGGUAAAAUUAAAACCACCAACAACAAAAACGUGUCAGAUAUCACAUGGGUAAUCACAUUGGCAACUGAAAUGAUGAGUGGAUUUGGAGCCUCAGGAAAGUGGCUUUGUCAAAGAAGAGGCUGAUGAAGGGCAGACAAAUAGGGAUUUGUUGCACAGCUCUUCAUCUCCUGUUAAUAAGUAAUUGACACAAUGUACACAAAUUUACAUCAGUAAAUGCAGCUGUCAUGACUGAAUUCUCAUACUUUGCUAAAAUUCUGUAUUUAAAAGGCUUUUACAGAUCACCCAGAAAUAAAUGUUCACUCUAGAUGAUAUCA
rnacentral:lncRNA from 1 species